AGCUGCAGUAUUCUGACUGUACAAAGGUAGCAUAAUCAUUAGUUUUUUAAUUGAAAGCUGGAAUGAAUGGCUGGAUAAGAAAAUGACUGUCUCUUUUUAAUUGAUUAAAACUUUAUUUUUAAGUUAAAAAGCUUAAAUUUUAUAGAAAGACGAGAAGACCCUGUAGAGUUUAAUAGGUUUAAAUUUGUUUUAAUUAAAGGUUUAAAGUUAUAAUGGAUUUAGCUUGUUUUGUUGGGGUGACAAUAGAAUUUAAUAAACUUCUUUUUUUAAAAUCAUUGAUUUAUGAAUAAAUGAUCCUAAUUUUUAGAUUAAAAGAAUAAAUUACCUUAGGGAUAACAGCGUAAUUUUUUUGGAGAGUUCUUAUCGAUAAAAAAGAUUGCGACCUCGAUGUUGGAUUAAGGUUUAUUACUGGUGCAGAAGCUAGUAAAUUAAGACUGUUCGAC
rnacentral:rRNA from 1 species